rnacentral:rRNA from 1 species
GUCUACAGCCAUGCCACCCUGAACGUGCCCAAUCUCGUCUGAUCUCGGAAGCUAAGCAGGGCCGGGCCUGGUUAGUACUGGGAUGGGAGACCACCUAGGAAGACCAGGUGCUGUAGGUG